rnacentral:lncRNA from 1 species
GAACAUUUGGUGUCUCUUCGUUUGCAAGGGACAGCUGUCAAAAUGCUUCCUUCGUCUAUUGGAAAUCUAAUUACUCUUCAAACUUUAGACCUUAGUGGCUGCAAGCACCUUGUGAGUCUACCAACCAACAUUUGUAAGUUGAAAAAUCUGAAGGAACUCAAUCUCUAUGGCUGCUCUGAACUUGAAAAAUUCCCAAAGAUCUUGGAGCCAAUGGAACAUUUGGUGUCUCUUCGUUUGCAAGGGACAGCUGUCAAAAUGCUUCCUUCGUCUAUUGGAAAUCUAAUUAGUCUUCCAACUUUAGACCUUAGUGGCUGCAAGCACCUUGUGAGUCUACCAACCAACAUUUGUAAGUUGAAAAAUCUGAAGCAACUCAAUCUCUCUGGCUGCUUUGAACUUGAAAACUUCCCAGAGAUCUUGGAGCCAAUGGAACAUUUGGUGUCUCUUUGUUUGCAAGGGACAGCUGUCAAAAUGCUUCCUUCGUCUAUUGGAAAUCUAAUUAGUCUUCAAACUUUAGACCUUUGUGGCUGCAAGCACCUUGUGAAUCUACCAACCAACAUUUGUAAGUUGAAAUAUCUGGAGGAACUCAAUCUCUCUGGCUGCUCUGAACUUGAAAACUUCCCAGAGAUCUUGGAGCCAAUGGAACAUUUGGUGUCUCUUAGUUUGCAAGGGGCAGCUGUCAAAAUGCUUCCUUCGUCUAUUGGAAAUCUAAUUAGUCUUCAAACUUUAGACCUUCGUGGCUGCAAGCACCUUGUGAGUCUACCAACCAACAUUUGUAAGUUGAAAUAUCUGGAGGAACUCAAUCUCUCUGGCUGCUCUGAACUUGAAAACUUCCCAGAGAUCAUAAAGCCAAUGGAACAUUUGAAGUACUUAAAUUUAAGUGGAACAACGGUUA